AAGUCGUAACAAGGUCUCCGUAGGUGAACCUGCGGAGGGAUCAUUACACAAUAUGAAGGCGGGCUGGAUCCCUCCUGCUGGGCACUGCUUCACGGCGUGCGCAGUAGGGGCCGGCCCUGCUGAACUAUUCACCCGUGUCUUUUGCGUACCUCUUGUUUCCUGGGCGGGCUCGCCCGCCACCAGGACCAACCAUAAACCUUUUUGUAAUAGCAAUCCGCGUCAGUAACAACGUAAUUAAUUACAACUUUCAACAACGGAUCUCUUGGUUCUG
rnacentral:misc_RNA from 2 species